rnacentral:rRNA from 1 species
GGCUCAGGAUGAACGCUAGCGGCAGGCUUAACACAUGCAAGUCAGGGGCAGCAUGAGACGGAGAUUCGUCGAAGUCUUGAUGGCGACCGGCGCAAGGGUGCGUAACGCGUGAGCAACUUGCCCGUUUCAGGGGGAUAACCGGUGGAAACGCCGACUAAUACCCCAUAGUAUGUUUUUAAGGCAUCUUUGAAACAUUAAAGAAUUUCGGAAACGGAUAGGCUCGCGUGACAUUAACUAGAUGGUGAGGUAACGGCUCACCAUGGCGACGAUGUCUAGGGGUUCUGAGAGGAAGGUCCCCCACACUGGAACUGAGACACGGUCCAGACUCCUACGGGAGGCAGCAGUGAGGAAUAUUGGUCAAUGGUCGAAGGACUGAACCAGCCAUGCCGCGUGAAGGUGACGGCCCUAUGGGUCUUAAACUUCUUUUGUAAGGGAGCAAUAAGGCUUACGUGUAAGCUGAUGAGAGUACCUUACGAAUAAGCAUCGGCUAACUCCGUG